GCGCAUUUAUACACUACACUUCGUUUGGUAAGCAUCGGCAACGAUCGGCGUGAAGUUGGGUGUAUUGGAGGAGUAACGAGAAUCUUGACAUGGACUGGAUCCGAGUUAACUAGAUCAGACCUUAAAGCAAGAAAAUUUUGGAAGAGAAGCAGAAAGAAGUCGCGAACAACAGAGCGUGGCAGUCGUAAAAAAGUCCUCGAGUGGAAAAGAUGUUUACUUGCAAGAUAUGCGAUAAGACGUUCACCAGAAGGGACAAUUACAGCCGUCACGCAGCCCGUCACAACGAUGCUAGCCAACAUCAGUGUAACUCGUGCGGCAAAGUAUUCGCUCGCCGUGACAACUACUUUCGACAUUUUAGGAGUCAUCAUGGUGAAGAGCAAAUCGGCUUUAGAGCGACAGCAGACGACCAACCAGUCGCAGCCAAACGACAGAAAAUUACCGAUUCCAACAACAUCGCAGACAUCACCGAUCUAUACCGUGUGAACAAGGUGAAAGAGGUAGAGAUGAAAAAGUUUAGCACGAAAGGGUUAGACUACACCGUCACCUUUGAGGACAACCUGGAUAUCUCUGACACAACAGCCGUGUUGCAGAUUUGGAUAGCCAAACCAGCCAGGUGCAGGCCCCAAGGAUCUCAUGCGUAUGGUGGUCAGGUGUCCCGAGCUCGACUACCCCAUCCAGUUACCGUUCAUCACCAAGGAUCAGUUGACGGCGGAACGAUUUAUGUCCCGAAUUGAGCUGGUGGUCAGAGGUAAAGAAGAAUUUUCCUUGGAUAGCACUCUUCAUAUCAACAUAACCCAUGUGGCCAUGCCACUUGGGGAAAAAUUAACAAGAAACGUUAUGUCAAUUUCGAACGCUUCCUCAAACAGAAAAAACAAUGCAUAAUACAAAUAAACAAAGAUGAACUGUGCUGUGUUAGAGCAAUAGUCACAGCAAAGGCUAAAAUUGAGGGGCAUGAAUGCUGAGAGGCCAUUCGCAAAGGAUGUACAAUUCAAUUGAAUCUGGCCGAGGACCUUCACAAACGUGCUGGGAUUCUGUUUUCAAAGUGUAGUAUGGGGGAAAUCAAACAAUUUCUACGCGUUCUUCCCGGAUAUCAGAUUUUGGUAGCUUCUACAGAACAUGCGAACUCCAUCAUUUUCAAAGGUCCACCAGCAGGCAAACAGAUAUGCCUGUAUUUUCACCACGGCCACUGCGACUUCAUCGCAAAAAUGCCAGCCUUUGUAAACAGAAGCUAUUUUUAUGUCACGUCCCUGAAGGGGGUUCGAUCAAGGCACUAUGCAUGGAUAUGCCAACGGAUGAAACCUCUCCCGGCAUCGACCCCUUCCAGCAGUGUAUUACCAUUGCGUCAGCCUGCUAUCUCGUGUACCGCACCAAGCACUUUAACCCAGAUACCAUUGGCAUCAUCCACUCUUCAGGGUACUGUUCAAAUGACCGUCUGUCAGUCAAGGCCCUCCAGUGGCUGAAAUGGACAGCCCACGAAACCGGUCAUAACAUUCAGUAUCCGGGUAACAAUGGAGAGGUGCAUGUUGGGAAAUAAAGAGUUGACUGCUUCUACAUCGAUAAUGGUGUAAAGACGGUCCUGGAGUUUAACGGCUGCCUCCAUCAUGGGCAUACGUUUUUGGCUCGCGAAACCAAACAUCCCUUCAACGGCCUAACGAUGGAGGAACUUCAUCAGUAGACGCUAGAGAGACGCAAAUUUAUCUUUGAUCAAGGCUACCGGUGUAUCGAGCAGUGGGAGUUUGAUGAUCUUGUUAAGCUGAUGAAAGAACGUGAUAGGAUCCAUACGGCUGCUAUCAAACUUAAUUGCCAGGAAUUGUGGGAUAAGUAUAGCAGUUUACGGAAUACAGUUACACAUAUGUUACAGAAACAGAAACGUGAUCACAACUGUAGUCUGAUCAAUGAUAAUGCUGGAAACAGCAAAAAGAUACGGAGCUGCCUUAAGGCGGUAACUCCAAACCAAGGUCCCAUUCUCCCUAGUUCGAUCGAGGUAAACGGAACGGACUGCAGUGAAACUGAUGUAAUAGCUAACACAUUUAAUGAUUAUCUUGUGUCCUAUGCCGAAAACGUCACAAAAGACUUACCUGAUACUAUUCCUAUUGUCUUUACUGACUUUCCUCGUAGUGAUGAUUGUGUUUUCAACCUGAGAUCUGUAUCGAGUGACUUUGUGCAAAGAACUAUCAUUACUAUGAAUGUUGCCAAAGCGACAGGGAAUGGCCAACUUAGCUGUCUUUGACGAAAAUCUUAAAUAUGUCCUUGGUGCAUGGAUAUGUGCCUGACGGAGAGAAGAGUGCAAAAAUAGUUCGAAUCUUUAAGUCUGGAAAUACCUCUGAUAUAGGUUACUAUCGGCCUAUUUCCAUCUUGCCAAUGGUAAGUGAAAUCUUGGAGAGGGCUGUGUACACGCAAUUGCAUGAAUUUAUUAACGAACAUGAUUCGAUGCAUCCCAACCAGUGUAGGUUCCGCCCAAUGCACUCCACGACUACGAUUCUUGCCAAAAUGGUCAAUCAGUGGAGCAGAAAUGUUGAAGGCGGUGAUCUGACAGUUGUAGGUUUUAUUGAUCUUAGAAAGGCUUUCGAUACAGUUAACCACGGAAUUCUUCUGGCUAAAUUAAGCUCUCUGGGUUGUUCAGCGUGUGCCUUAAAAUGGUUCUCUAGCUACUCGUCAGGUCGAACAUAACGAGUCUACUUGAACAAAGCUAGCUCCAAACUUCAGUCUGUUACUCACGGUGUUCUGCAAGGAUCAAUUCUGGGUCCUCUUUUAUUUUCCAUUUAUGUUAACUCCAUACUACAAUACUAUUUAACGGUAAAUUACAUAUUAACUCAAAAGAGUUCGGCAGUGUGCUCAUUGAGGCUUUCGAUGUAAUCCAAGAUUGCAAUAUUUCCCGUGAAAAACGGGAAGACUGGUGAGAUAUUUCCUCUCCAGAUUGGAGUACAGCAAUCGUAUAUCGUGACCUAGGUUCCGAUAUUGGCGGAUAUAGUAAACCAGGAAGCGAAAAGAGGGAUGUUUAUUUUGGCGUAUCAGUCGCUGGAGCAAGGAAAAUCUGUACGUCAUAAGACGAGCUUUCAAACAGUUCAACCCCAGCCCUCCUUUGUCUGGAGGUUGAAACACAAUUUAUCUUUUAAGCCAGUGACGUUUAUCAGUCCAAACAAAAUAAAUUAAAAGUUCUUGGGGUUGAUCCAGGACGUGACUGGGAGGAGGAAGAACUGUCAAAAAAUGAAGAAGACUUGAAGCGCAGUUUGAUUGGCAAUUAUUAUUCUUCCUUUGAAAGACAUGGUACAAGCCAGGCUGCUCC